rnacentral:rRNA from 1 species
GUGGCUGGGGUCUACUCAAACCCAUUGUGACCUUACCUAUGUUCUGUUGCCUCGGCGGCGUGGUCAGCGCCCCCUCUGAAAAGAGGACGAUGCCCUCCCGCCGGCAGCACCAAACUCUUGAAUUUUACAGCGGAUUACAGUUCUGAUUUGAAAAGAAAAAACAAGUUAAAACUUUCAACAACGGAUCUCUUGGUUCUGGCAUCGAUGAAGAACGCAGCGAAAUGCGAUAAGUAAUGUGAAUUGCAGAAUUCAGUGAAUCAUCGAAUCUUUGAACGCACAUUGCGCCCGGCAGUAAUCUGCCGGGCAUGCCUGUCCGAGCGUCAUUUCAACCCUCGAACCUCCGUUUCCUCAGGGAAGCUCAGGGUCGGUGUUGGGGCGCUACGGCGAGUCUUCGCGACCCUCCGUAGGCCCUGAAAUACAGUGGCGGUCCCGCCGCGGUUGCCUUCUGCGUAGUAAGUCUCUUUUGCAAGCUCGCAUUGGGUCCCGGCGGAGGCCUGCCGUCAAACCACCUAUAACUCCAGAUGGUUUGACCUCGGAUCAGGUAGGGUUACCCGCUGAACAUAAGCAUAUCAAUAAGCGGCGAA